CUGCAACCCGCCUGCAUGAAGUCGGAAUCGCUAGUAAUCGCGAGUCAGCAUAUCGCGGUGAAUACGUUCCCGGGUCUUGUACACACCGCCCGUCACACCAUGGAGUUGGCAACACCCGAAGUCGAUGAGCUAACCGCAAGGAGGCAGUCGCCUAAGGUGGGGUUGAUGAGUUAGGGUUAAGUCGUAACAAGGUAGC
rnacentral:rRNA from 1 species